UUCGGACUCCGGUGGGAGCUCAGCCUCAUCCAGUAGCCGGUAACAAAAAGUACAGAAAUAGUGGUUCAUCUUCACUCAGCACCUCCCAACCAAGAACCUGGUCCAUUCCAAAGAAGUAAGAAUUCCUAUAUCAAACUCUCCUUCAAAGAACUUGGCCAGACUGAAGAGGAAGAGUCAAAGAAGGUAGAGAGACAAAAGCAAAAGAAGAAAGAAAAAAAAUGAC